UUCGUGCCCGUUAGCAUCGCCAGCAUGGUUGCUGCUAAUCUCGCGUACAUUGCUAAUACUCUAUUCACACACAUUACCAUUGUUUUACUCACUGUUACUUGCUUUAAUGGCGUAUGUGUGUCAACCUUUGAGUGCAGGUGAGAACACAUUCGGGCUGCAUUCUGGAGGCCUUGGAGAAGCAGAUUCGUGACCUGGUGGAGAGACAGGGCCAGCUGAGAGAGCGGGGAGCCGUGCUGGAAACCUCCCAGGCUGACACUCACAAGUCCGGGGCAUGGUGCACCCAGGACGCGAUCUUCCCAGAUGUCCUUCUCUCCGACACCACAGACCCUGGGGGCACCCGCAUCGGAAGACGCGAGCCAGGCCCCGGACGAUGACCUCUCCCCCUCCACCAUGUCCAGUCUUCGAGAUCUCCACCCGGAACCACUUCACUCACCAGCCUAAGCGAGACGGUGCACAGCACAUUGCUCAUGACGAUGAUCAUCGUGUCAGAACCGCUUCCCAUGUAUCGACGAGGAUAUGAAAGGUUCAGUAGACUUUUUGCUUUAAAUGAAUGGUUAUUGUCAUGGCGUAAAGAACAGAAACUGCUCUUUGUUAAUAACUGGAAUCUUUUCUGGGAGCGUCCUAGGCUCUUUCACACUGAUAGCCUGCACCCCAGCAGAGUUGGAGCAGAACUCCUUUCUGACAAUAUCUCCAGGACACUGCGCUCCAUAUGACUA
ensembl:lncRNA